UACAGAGGUCUCAAGCGUUGUUCGGAAUUACUGGGCGUAAAGCGUGUGUAGGCGGCCACGUAAGUCGGAUGUGAAAGCCCCAGGCUCAACCUGGGAAGUGCACUCGAUACUGCGUGGCUUGAGUAUCGGAGAGGUUGGUGGAAUUCUCGGUGUAGAGGUGAAAUUCGUAGAUAUCGAGAGGAACACCGGUGGCGAAGGCGGCCAACUGGACGAAUACUGACGCUGAGACACGAAAGCGUGGGGAGCAAACAGG
rnacentral:rRNA from 1 species